rnacentral:misc_RNA from 1 species
ACUAAACAAAAGUAAAGACGUCGAAGCAAAAUGGCGGCGCCGACGCCAGUUGAGAAUAUCUCGUACCCUAGUCCAAAAGUACAGCUACCAGAAGCAAAUUACUGUGUUGCUUUAAUGCAAUGCUUAAAUGACUUUAGAAAGCACAAUGUUUUAUGUGAAGUGACAAUCGUUGUUAACGGCAAACCGUUCUAUGCUCAUCGCAAUGUUCUUGCAGCAGCCAGCCCCUACUUCCGAGCCAUGUUUUCCAAUCAUUUUCGUGAACAGACAGACGCAAAGCCAGUUAUACUCGAGAACAUCACAGCAGAGGUAAUGGAAGAACUGCUUAACUUUAUUUACACAGGAACCAUUAAAAUUACGCCGUUCAACGUCAAAGACCUCGUCUCAGCUUCAAAUUAUUUGUUAAUGACAAGUCUAAAGGACGCUUGUGUGUCGUUCAUGAAAUCGAUGCUUAAUCCUUCCAACUGUUUGGGCAUUGAAUCGGCAGCCGACCAGUUUGAUUGUGAAACCCUUCGAGAAACAGCAAACAACUAUAUUUAUAACAACUUUUUUACUGUCUCCCAAACUGACGAGUUCAAAAUGCUCUCAGCAGAGAGAUUAGAGGAAUUUUUGGUCAGUGACGAUACUAAGGUUGAACGUGAAGAACACAUAUUUGAAGCGUUAAUUACUUGGGUUAAACACGACGAAAAGAACCGCAGUCCACUCUUUUCACGACUUGCAAAGCAUAUUCGUUUCCCUCAAAUGUCGCCCUACUAUCUUGCGGACUUCGUCGAGACGGAAGAGAUUGUGCUUGGAACUCCUGAAUGUACAGCUCUCCUACUAGAGGCAAAGAAUUACCAUAUGUUACCAGAUAGACGACACCUCAUCAAAGGCUCAAGAACAAAACCUAGAAAAUCCAUGGGAGUUAUGAAAGUUAUAUUUGCUGCUGGGGGGAUUCAGGGGGCGACCGUGAUGAAAAAUACCUUUUGUUUUGUACCCAAAACAAACAGAUGGUACCCCCUUGCCCCGAUGAAUGUAGCACGAUGCCGACAUGGGCUGGCUCUGUCUGGUGAUAUGGUAUAUGCUGUAGGGGGGCAAUCAAGGGAAGGUGCAGCACAGAGUUCACUUAGUACUGUAGAACGUUAUGAUCCACGAACCAAUACCUGGAAUACUGUUGCCUCCAUGAAUAUAAGACGGAGCUUAUUGAAUGUUGCUGUAUUGGAUGGUCGUUUGUAUGCUGUUGGGGGAUGUGAUGAAAACAACUUUCGUUUAAACAGUGUUGAGAGUUACAACCCGGUGACUGAUAACUGGCAGUAUGUAGCACCCAUGAGUACCUGCCGUAGUAGUCCCUGUGUCAUGGCAACAGGCAGGGCAUUAUAUGUUGUGGGUGGUGUAAAUUAUGUUGGAAUGUCGUUAAACUCUGGAGAGUGUUUUGAUCCAAUGACAAACACUUGGGUGUCAAUCAACCCCAUGCAGCAGAAAAGAGCCAGUGCUUGUGGGGCUGUAUGUAAUGGCAAGAUAUUUGUGAUUGGUGGAUGGGAUGGAGCAAAUCAUUUGAACUCAGGCGAGAUGUAUGAACCAGAUAUAGACCAAUGGUCAUCCAUUGCAAAAGCAAGCACAGCAAGAUGGGAUGCUGCUAUUGCUGUAGAGAGUGACAAAAUCUAUGUUGUGGGGGGAUGCGACAGGAAUUCACUUUGCACUCUGGAGACAGAAUGUUAUGAUCCAGACAAGAAGAAGUGGUGUAAAGUGGCACCCCUCCCUGUUGCUACACAUGGAAUCAAAUGCUCUACCAUUCAAGUUCCUAAUAAGUUAAUACCAGGAAUUUAGCAGGACUUGGAUCUAGUAAGGUUCUUGAGGUGACAAGAAUGUUCACUUGCUUGGUCAAGCUUUUGCACAAGAGCUGCACCAUGGAGACUUAAUACUAUUAUCAAAUCAAUUCCAUUUUCCUGUGCAUCUGUGCUCCUAAUAAUACACAGAAGAUGUCAAAAUGUAAUGAAAGUCGUUACUCAAAACUGUGCACAAUUUGUUAAAUUGUCAUCGUAAAUUUGGGUACUUGGUUUCUUUGGUUUAAAAGCUUGGCCUGACUGUAAAAUCAUUUGAAACAGAAAUACUAAAAAGUUUUUCAUUUAUUGACAAGUUUUACAGAAAGUUAAUAAUGUAUCAUCAGUGUAAACAGUCUUGCGUGUUGACUAUAGUCUCUUCUCAGCUGUUUUAACAUGGCUGUUAGGAGACUAGCUUGACUAUGGAAUAAACAGGAACAACUUUGCCUGUAAUUCAAAGUACAAAUUCAAAUUCAAGUACUGCAAUGCACUUUCUUGAUGAUUGUCACUAAGCAUGCUCAAAAUUGCAUUUCAGUCUGCAAUUAUCUUCAACAAAGUUGUUGUGUGUUUUUUGUUUUGUGGUAGCAUGACUGUAUAGCCUGCAUAGCAGCUAUCUAUUAGUAGAGGAGGGGUAGAGAUGUGUUUCCUCAGUGUUUGACCAAGGUCCAAAGGUGGACUGACAGUGUACAUUGUAUAAACAGGCAGUUGCUAACCCAGCAAACAUCCAAUGCCACUUAUAAAAGAAAUAAGUAGAAACCUUUCCGCUGAACUUCAAUAAUCAAAUUGACAAAAGCCUCAUCAGAUAACUUAAAGUGAUAAAGUAACAUGGUUUUUUUUAUCAACCAGAAGGCUGUAAAACAAAAUGAAUUAUAUUAUUACAACGUUACACUAUAGUGUGCGUUUAGAGAAUACUUAACAAAUUCUGCAUUGAUGCUAAUAUUUCUUCUACUUAGAAUGACAGUUUAAAUGCAACUUUGAUUUGUGUGAUUGCACAAUAAACUAUGUUGGUUGUAUAAUUUACAUUUUUCUUGCAAAUGUGACAUGGCUGGCAAUCAUGUUAGAACUUUUGACAACUAUCAUAUGCCAUGCAGUCAACAAGACGUUUCACUGUACUCAAAUAGAUAACAAUUUCAUAACAUGUAUUUGUGUGAGACCAUUUAAAAAUGCGCAGUUUUGUAGGUCUUGGAAAUGCACAUUGGCUUCAGACACAUUUGAUCAAUUUUGCCAAGGUUUUGAUAGACAAUAUUACAACAUACAUUGUUGUCACAUCUGAUAGGAUUUAUAGAGUGUAGCAUGAAGAAUUCAGUCUGUUCUUUUCUUAUCUGCAAGCUUAUCUAGGCAUUAUUUGCACAACCACUGAACCUGAUGAGUGCAUUUCCAAAUAAAGUAAAAGUAAACUUCAAUAAAACCUUUAAUAAGAUUUUUUUCAAUAUUAAGUCUACAUAUUAACAAAUCUUCAGUGACAGGGCUGUCAACCCCCAGCAAUUUUACAACGUUAGACUGAUAAAAUUAUGCUAUUUUGUUUAUAUUUUUAAAAUGCCAAAUCCCCACAAACGUGGGACAGACCACCAGUAUUGCACAGCUUAUCCACAAAUCAGGUCCCGUACAUUGUUAUAUAUUGUAAAUAUAUCACUAAAAAAACACGAGAGUUUUGAAAAUUUCUUGGAUUGCAACNGAGAGUUUACAGCCCUGCAACAAAGGCUCUGAACUAUAAAUAUUUUAUCAUCAAAACUGACAGUCAUCAUAUGCAAAUUAUAUGCUGCUUUAACUUAGCUUUGCAUGCAGACCACUGAUAAUAAUAUCAGGCUUGUGCACUAGGUUUCAUGAGUUUCUUGAUUCGGCAAAUAAGUCUCAUACAUAGCUGUCAACCCACCCGGAUUAGCUGGGAGUCUCCAGAUUUGAGCCUCGUCUCCCGGUCUCACGGAUAAAGGUUGAAAUCUCCCGGAUAAUCGUCAAACUUGUAAGAAUAUGGUCUUGUAUUAAUGUUUGACAUACCUAAAAUAUUACCGCUUAUGAAAAAGCUACUUUUUGAAUCAUGAGCUUACUUGUUACUUAUGAUUUUCUUUGUUCUGUUUGUUUAAUAAUAAAUGUAGCUUUGCUGUAGCAGCCCCUUUGUUGCGUUACGUCACGUAACCACAGGAAUCCCAAAAUCCAACAAUUUAAGUUAAUUAGGUUUUUACGAAUCUCCAGAUUUGAAAAGUUGGGGGGUUGACAGCUAUGCUCAUAUUUCUAAAGACUUUGUCUGCCAAGGAAGGGUGCCCUGGAACCACCCCCAGCACAUUCCCCUAAAAAGAUGGUCUGCAUUGCACACAAGCUACGUGAAUCAUACUUUUGUACAAUCUACUUGCUACAAUGUAAAUUUUGUAUAUAUAUUGAUGACAGUGCCAGACUGUAAUCUGAUAUCAUUAAUUGUCUAAUACAACAAUAAAUUUCUCUUCAUUUUCAAUGUU